CCUACGAGUGGCUGCAGUGAGGAAUAUUGGUCAAUGGGCGCGAGCCUGAACCAGCCAAGUCGCGUGAGGGAAGACGGUCCUAUGGAUUGUAAACCUCUUUUGUCGGGGAGCAAAAGACGCCACGCGUGGCGUUCCGAGAGUACCCGAAGAAAAAGCAUCGGCAAACUCCGUGCCAGCCGCCGCGGUAAUACGGAGGAUGCGAGCGUUAUCCGGAUUUAUUGGGUUAAAAGGGUGGGAAGGCGGAAGAUCCAUUCAGCGGUAAAAUUUAGAGGCGCAACCUCUUCGAGCCGUUGAAACUGGGUGUCUUGAGUGAGCGAGAAGUAUGCGGAAUGCGUGGUGUAGCGGUGAAAUGCAUAGAUAGCACGCAGAACUCCGAUUGCGAAGGCAGCAUACUGGCGCUCAACUGACGCUCAUGCACGAAAGUGUGGGUAUCGAACAGGAUUAGAUACCCUUGUAGUC
rnacentral:rRNA from 1 species